UACGUAGGGUGCAAGCGUUAAUCGGAAUUACUGGGCGUAAAGCGUGCGCAGGCGGUGAUGUAGGACAGAUGUGAAAUCCCCGGGCUCAACCUGGGAACUGCAUUUGUGACUGCAUCGCUGGAGUACGGCAGAGGGGGAUGGAAUUCCGCGUGUAACAGUGAAAUGCGUAGAUAUGCGGAGGAACACCGAUGGCGAAGGCAAUCCCCUGGGCCUGUACUGACGCUCAUGCACGAAAGCGUGGGGAGCAAACAGG
rnacentral:rRNA from 1 species